rnacentral:tRNA from 1 species
UCCCCGGUGGCUCAGAUGGUAAAGCGUCUGCCUACAAUGCAGGAGACCCAAGUUCAAUCCCUGGGUUGGGAA